UAGCAGCUGAUCUAUCUGGUCUAUUGUUAUUGUUAGAAAAAAUAGAAAAAUUGGAGGUGGUGAAGUCAAAACAAUUCAUAUUUAAGUAAAAUUGUAUGUGAACGCCACUGCAAUUCUUCGCCAUUGAAAUUGUCCUAAGGUUAUUCUGGUCAUAAAUUCGCCAAUAUGUUUGGGCUGGGUAACUUUGAUUUCCCAGACUAUAGAUCUGAAUGUACGUCCAUAGCGUCAUUUUCAUCUGAUGGUGGUAGUUCGAAAAAGAGGAGAGGAUCUUUCCUGCUGGAACCUCGUACAGG